UCGGACUGGACUAGGACUAGGAGAGCCCAGACUAGGAGACAUGUCAUGUCCUGUUCUUCUUCUCUGUCCUUCGUGGUGCUGUGUUACGAUGACGUAUGAGGAGCUGAGGGAGACAGACGCUGCUGUGUGUGAGACGGGAGUGUCUGUCUCACCCUGGGACGGACACAACACACACACAGACGUGUCCUGUGUCCAGUCAACGUGGUUUUAUUGACAACACUGUUCAACUCUUAUCAAACCUUUAUAAAAGUUGUCAAAAAUAUCCAUCUUUUACAGGCCACUUCUCAACAGUUAGCUUAAAAAAGCUAACUAGAUAAAUAAAUAAAUAAAAUACCAGGACGAUGAAGACAUUUUUGUCCCAUUGAAGACGGGACAGUCGGGGCGUGGUCUCACUGGAUUCUCAGCCUGCGGCGCCCACAGUGGAGCCAGACGGACCUCAGGCCACGUCACUACUGGACACGCCCAUCACAGGUCGGCUCAUUAACCAGGUCAGUUUUGGGAAUUACAUUUUUUUUUCCAUUUUUACUUUACGUGAUUUUCAUUUUCCAACACGAUGUUGAUCAAAGUGGACCUGGAGCCUCCUGUUGAACACAGUUCCUUUACUGUUUUCAGCAUGGACUGAGGACAAACCACAGAGAGACUGACAUGUCUGUUUGUCAUGUAAUGACUGACAUUUACCAACAGGGCUUUGAUGAAUCAGGUAAAAAUAUAUAUCUGUGACAAUUCUCAUUGGUUAAAAUAAAAAAUGAAUCUCACAUCAAGGUGUGAGAAGUAAACUGAGUUAUCACUGGUCACACCAUGACACUACACACUCUAGUACAGUAGGUGGCAGUAUAAUCCUAAAAAUGUUGCUUGUGACCCACUAUUAGAGUGUUUGGUUCCAUCCAUAUUUACUGUUCAACUAAAUGUGAUCUUGGUGAAUUCACAAGUCCCUCAGCUUCAACACAUUAUCAUUGUUGUUUAUAUCAUGACUUCACAUCAGUUCUGGACACUCACUGUGUGAACCAGGAGUCUGUCGAAGAAGAAGAACAGGACAAAAGUACUGAUGAUUAUAGUGUUUAUAAAAGUGUGUUUUCUGUUAAUUAACCUAAAACCAUCAACACUCAUCAGUGACCUAUACCAUGUGACCUGUACCAUGUGACGUCCAAUCAUCCAGUUCAAAUGUGAAGAGAGGACGACACUGUGUCUUCUGUCCUCACCAAAUAAAGACACUGAGUUUGUCUUUGUCUCCAGACGCUGGUGUGACACAACAGUGCAUGGUACUCUAUAUAAACAGUACCAGUGCCUGAGGAGCGCUGUGCAGUCAUAACUCAGCCCUCAGUGGUGUUAGGACAGCCAGGAGGAGGAGGAGGAGUGGGAGGAGGAGGACAUUGGUCCAGACUGGGAGUCUUUGUGGAGGACAGAACAAAGAGCUGCCUUCACUGACCUGCUGUCAGUCUGGACGGACGGACGGGUCACUGUGGUCAGGGACUGUGGACGGACGGAGACACUGAACGCUGCUGCUCUUCUCCUCAUCAUCCUCCUCCUCAUCAUCAUCAUCAGUUCUCUCCUCCGUCUGAUCGGAGACAUGA